UACGUAGGGUGCAAGCGUUAAUCGGAAUUACUGGGCGUAAAGCGUGCGCAGGCGGUUUUGUAAGUCUGGCGUGAAAUCCCCGGGCUCAACCUGGGAAUUGCGAUGGAGACUGCAAGGCUAGAAUCUGGCAGAGGGGGGUAGAAUUCCACGUGUAGCAGUGAAAUGCGUAGAGAUGUGGAGGAGCACCGAUGGCGAAGGCAGCCCCCUGGGUCAAGAUUGACGCUCAUGCACGAAAGCGUGGGGAGCAAACAGG
rnacentral:rRNA from 1 species